rnacentral:lncRNA from 1 species
AAGGUCAGGCAGAGGCUGGUUUGGAGAGGCUUCACCAUUGUGCAGAGAGUGAACUGGAGAAUUAUCUGAAUGUUGAAGAAAGUAAUUCCAAAACAUUUGAUGAUUUCCGCAUAAAGCUUACUGGUCUUACUAGUGUGACUAAGAAUUACUUUGACAAUUUUCGUAUAAAGCUUACUGACUAGUGUGACUAAGAAUUACUUUGACAAUUUAGUUAGAGCACUUGAGAAUGGGCUUGAAGAUGUUCAUUCUCAAGGGGCUCAUGGCGACAUG